UGAGGAAUAUUGGGCAAUGCCCGCAAGGGUGACCCAGCAACGCCGCGCGGAGGAUGAAUGUCGUAAGAUUGUAAACUCCUGUUAGAGGGGAAGAAUAGUACCGGUUGGACCGGUAUAUGACUGUGCCCUCAGAGAAAGCCCCGGCUAACUACGUGCCAGCAGCCGCGGUAAUACGUAGGGGGCAAGCGUUGUCCGGAUUUACUGGGUGUAAAGGGUGCUCAGGCGGAUUUGUAAGUCAGAGGUGAAAUCUUACAGCUUAACUGUGAAACUGCCUUUGAUACUGCAAGCCUAGAGUAUGGAAGAGAGUGAUGGAAUAUCUGGUGUAGCAGUGAAAUGCGUAGAUAUCAGAUAGAACACCAAUGGCGAAGGCAGUCACUUGGUCCAUUACUGACGCUAAAGCACGAAAGCGUGGGUAGCAAACA
rnacentral:rRNA from 1 species